rnacentral:lncRNA from 1 species
AAUUGGAAUAGUAGUGAUGCCAUGCUCCAAGCAUUCAUACUAUGUUUCUCUAAACAAUAGCUAUGCCAUACUCCAAGUAUGCACACUAUGUUUACAUAUGGUCAUCUCUUUGUGAAAUGUAUAUCAACUGAACAUGACUUCAAUGAUUCUCAUUUCACAAUCCCAAUCCUUAUUGUAAAUGUAAGAAUACAUUUUUCUUGUCAUUUACCGUAAUCUAUGCAAUGAUCCUCUUGUAAUGAUAUUCACACAAGUCACAAAGACUUGGCAACAAACAUCACAAAGUAUUCCAAUGGAAAGCAAUUCCAUGGAGAUGAAGUCUCAAAUUCAAAGUACAUUCCUUUGAACAUCCUUCUUUGCAUUAAGUUCUUUAAUCUUACACAGAUUCAAAGAAUAACUUCCACCUAUGGAAACAAUUCCAUAUUCCCAUCUUGACCAUCACUUUUGAACAAGAGUUGCCUCUUUCCAAAAUAUGUCAAUACGAUCCUUACUCUAUACUUCCAAUUGUCCAUGAGUAACCAAACUUUGGAAAACCCCAAAUUGUUCUCGACAAUUGCUUAAUCAUCUUAGUCAUAUCCAGUUCUAAUCCCUUUUCCCUUCUUAACGCCCUAAGCAUUAGGAAAAUUUAGAAUGGAUGAAUAUUAUAACACAUGCAAUCGAUCCUAUAUCCGAAGCAUAUGGGAUACGAUUCAUGCUAUAAAAUUUUUAUUUGCCAUGUUCUCAUAAUUCGAACUAUGAAGAGGGAUGCCGUAAUCAUAAUCGAAUUUUGAGAAAGCAACAUAUAUAGAAAUUCCUUAUGUUGAACCAUUCCAACAUAACAUUCAUAUAUAUUCUUGACUAAAGUUGAUUAAAAUCUCAAGGCUUAAUCUUGGAGUAUGACACCAAGAUUAUGUCACUCAAGGCUUAAUCUUGGAGUAUGACUCCAAGAUUUAAUUUUGGAACUAAGUAUAAUUUAUCUUUUGAUCUAACCAUUUCAACAAUUCACGAUUUCUCUCCUUAGCCAAACAAACUGAACUAAGGUGUCCUUAGAGGAUCAAUUGUGACAUGGUUUCAUAAUCACUGAGAUAAUCAUAAAACAAGAUACUCAAGUACUCUCCCAUCUCUUCAGAUUAGAGAAACUUUUAUCUUUCUGCCUUAUUUGAUUCUUCUUACUCAUUAUGUCUAUCAUUGAAACUUCUCCAAUGAUCCAGAACUAUACUUAAACUUGUAAGUAUAACCAUAUUUACUAAACUUUAGUAAAUCAUAAUGAAUAAUCCUAUCAACUUUGUGGUGGACCUGAUCAGCGCACACCCAAGUGUAUCCGAUCCCUUUGUCCUUCACUUGAUUCACAUAUACAUGUGAACAAGGAAUUAGACUUAAUUUCCCAAAUAUAUAAAAAAAUUCUCAUGAUCAUACAAUACAAGUUGCAUGAUUCCAAGUUUCUAUCCAACUGAAACUUGGGUGAUGAGAAUCUUUCAUUAUUUGGUAAAUUAUGACACUUCCACUAAUGAAAGAAUUUAAUCCAUUUACCCAUAUUACUUAUCAAUGGAUACAUAUAAUCAACAAUUUUUUCACAAAUUCCACUGUAAGGAUACUUAAAAUAAAUAAAAUCAAAACCAUUUUUCUUUUAUUUUAAAACUUUGCGGAAAAAUUUAUCCUUACAAUCCAUAUGGAAAACUUGUUGUUAUCUAUUCCUAAGCAAUAUAUCAUAACUCUUAAGUAACAACUCAAAAUUCUGAUCACCGAACCAUGCGAUCGAAAUCCAUCUUCGCGAUCAGAAUCAGCAUAUACUUCCUUUAAGUUUCUUCACCUUUUCUUUGAUUCUUAAAACAUCAACAUGUGACCUCGUCACAUUAUGCAAUAAGAAUCUCAGAAUAGAAACUUAAUAGAGUUAGACAAUGGACUUUACCUGAAGUAGAGUCAAACCUAUUGACUUUACCAUCCUUAAGAUGUUUCAGGUAAAUUUAGCAGCUUCGCAACCAAUGUCUUUCCUUUGGCAACAGAAUCAUAUGGACUCUUUGGAAACGGUACAUGGGACUAUCACAGACUUAACCUUUCUCUUUACCAUUUGGUCAACCGAGUUGACUAUGGCCGAUCCCUUUCCAUUGGGAAGAGAAAGUUUUUCCUGGACCUCCAAUGUCACCAUUUUCAAUGUCCAAAUAGGUUUGGAAAGUAGAUCUUCCAAUCCAAUUUGCUUUACUAAUGCUCCAAAUCACUGCUGAUUUAGCAUCAUCAAGCAAAUAGGUAAGAUCAUUAAGGGUCUUGUCGCGACCUGUCAUCAGGGAGUGACUGAAGAACCAAGUCAGCAGCCAGCUACCUCGAGACUUCGACACCCGACUCUCCCGACUUGUCAAUAUGUGGCUUAAUCCCCAAGAUCUAAGCACAUAUAGACUUUGCUUGCCAAUAGGGAUUGAGUGACUUAGAACUUAUCAAGUCUUAAAACUUGUGGGAUAGGGAGAUUUAUUGGAGGAGGUGGAUGAAGUGAAGUAUGAUUUCUAGUCCCACAAAUGCCCAACAAAGGGAUUGAUCUUUCACCUUGAUUGCCAUUUGGGAUAUCAUCUUCAUUAGGAAGCUUGUUCCUAAAGAUUUGGGAAGACCAUAGCUGUCUAAACUAGACAUCUAUAAUGGGAGAAAUUCAAGUUAGUUGAUUUAAAGUCCUUAAUAUAACACCCAAUAUGAAAUAUUAAGGCUAGGACCCAACAACCUAUUUAUAACUGGAAGAGGGAUGCCGUAAUCCAAAUUAUAAAAUAGUUGAAGGUAGGUAAAUGACGAUUUACCAAUUUCCACCAUGAAAACGAAAUAUUUUAUUAUUAGGUUUUAUUGGUUUUGAAACUCCUAGAUCUUUUGAGAUACAUUGAACUUUUCAAUGGCAUGUUUGAAUCUCGAUUGUGCCCUCUCAAAUUUGUGACUGGGAUGCCGAGGAUCACAAACAAGGUGUGAAUAACCAUACAAAUUGACUUGGUACCCUUAACAAUAUUACCUAAUCGAUGUGCCGGUUAACCACACACGCUCCACCGAUCUAUAAUAAAGUCAAGUUACCCUUUGCCACUCUUACUAGUCCAUGUUAGUGUGCCGGUUAACCACACACGCUCCACUAACGACUUGGUAAGGUACAAAGUGUAAUUUUAUGGGCUAGCACCUUUUCACAUUUUCCUAAGUAACUAAGAUUGGGAAUUUAUAAGUGUUUAGUUACUUAGUAUUUUUCAUUAUACUUUUAAUGAAGGGAGAAUUAUAGUCCAUUCCUACCCGUUCGGCUAACGACCCUCCACCAGUCAAGGAAGCGGUGGGUGAGAGUGGACACCCAUUAAACUGCCAUUUUAUAGGCAGUAACCUUAUACCCCCCUUAUAGACCGGCUUCGUGAAUGAGGCCUACUAACGGUAAGAUUGACUUCCUCUUAUACAUAUCUAUAUAAUUAAAAUUAUAAUAAUAGUAUAAGGGUUGAAUUUUAAACUUUUUAAAAUUUCAAUGUUCAAUUUGGAAUUAAAGUAUACAUGAGGAGUAACUUUUCAAAUUCCAAAACUUGAGGGCAAGUUUUGAAACUAUUUCAAGACUCUUUAAAUCAUAACUUAUGAGUUUAAUGGUUCAUUAAAAUGAAGACUCUUCAUUUUAAUGUAACCCCUUAUUCUUUAAAAACACUUUAAAGAAGUGUCUCUUCAACAUCCAUAACUUGAGGACAAGUUAUGGAGUCAUUAAACUAUUUAAUGGAAAAAACUCUUACAUUUUAUGUAACCUACAAAACUUUUAUGAGUUUUUAAGAUUCAUAAAUAUGACUUUUCACAUAACUUGAAGACAAGUUACAAAAACAUAUUUUAUGAACUUCUUUUAGACUAAUAUGGAUUGAAAACAACUAAAACAUAAUUUUUUCAUUAUCAAUCUAAACUAACUCAUAAAUCAAGGAAACAUAAAAUUCUUGAAAAUUCAUAACUUGAGGACAAGUUAUGAACUCCAUACAAUUUUCAACAAGAUCAUGAAUUAUAUCAACAAACAAUUUGCACACAAUUCCUAUGAUCUAGCAAAACUCAUAAGCAUGAUCAUUCAUAAUCAACAAUUUUCAAGAAUAACAUGAACACAUAUAAACUUGAAACUUUUAUUAUAGCAUUGAAAUUGGUUUAACAUAAUCAUUACCACAUUCAAAACAAGUUUUAUAAGCCCAAAACAGUCAAAGGUAAUGAUUCUAGACCAAUUCCAGCACCAAAACUCGAAAAUAUGCUGUCUGGGGGUCCAACUCGUCGAGUGCAUGAACAAACUCGGCGAGUUGGAUGCAUUUUGCCUUGGACUCGUCGAGUCCCUUCAUGGACUCGGCGAGUCUGCUGGGCAGACAGCACCAAAAGUCGAUUUUUAAGCAGUUUAAGCAAGUACAACAAGAAAACAAGCCUAGGCUCUGAUACCACUGUUGGGUUUUGAGCAAUCUAACACUCCUAAGUGUACAUGCAACCCUAAAUACCUUGGAUCUAUGUUUUCUCUAUUAUACAUGCAAAUAUCAACUUUCCAAGGUAUUGUUCUAUUCUAGCAUACAAAACUUUGAAUAACACAAGUUAGAAUAACAUACCUUUUGUUGGUGCUUGUCUUCAUGAAGCUUGAGUGCCUAGUGCCCCAAGUGUGACACCUCAAAUGGUUCACACAACACCAUAAGCACUUGGAAUAACUUAGAGAGAAAUUAGAACACUUCAAGAAUCGGCUUGCCCUCCAUGCAUAUCUUGUGGCCGAUUUCUCACAUCAAUAAGAUGCUUAUAUAGUUGUUACAAUUAGGGUAAACCCUAAUUGUCAUGGCUUUCCAUUUCCUUGGAUCCAUGGGUUCAAAUACACCAUGGAGCAUCCAAUGGGUUUGAGCCCAACUUGAUAAUCCAUGGAGCAUUAGCCCACUAUAUAAGUAUGGAUGAUUUACACAAUCAACCCAUAUAUUUAAUUAGUCUUCUUUUGAUCACAUAAUUAAUUCUAAAUUAAUUAUUGAUCAAUACUAAUUAAAUAAUCUUAUUAAUAUAUUAGAACUUAUAAUAUAUUAAUAAACCUUAAGUGUUAUUUCUCUCAUUUUAGUCUAUCCAAGUGCAUGAUGCCAUGCAACCCAAAUGGACCAUGCCGGGUCGGGUCAAGUCUUACCAAUUAUAGUUAUGGACUUAGACAUUAAUCCAACAGUCUCCCACUUGGAUAAGUCUAAAACUAUUAUUGCGUGUAUGACUUCAGAACCCGACUAGCAAUCGUAGCUCUCAAAAGCUUCUGUCGAUCUCUGACCUUGUCGAUGAACUCUGACCUCUGUCAAUGACUUGUCCAUUAGAUAAGUGAUCAUAUAUUCCUCCAUUCUAGAUAUCAUAUGGACUGAGACAUGGAUUAUAAUCAUUCUCUCUGUCCAUUUGUUGUUUCCCGAUUUCUGAUUUAUGACGACUGACUAAUUGAACAAAUCAAAUCAGUCCAGGCCCGGCCGAGCACUUACUUUUGUCAUCACUAAAUCAUCGAGGGGCCCACAGAUAUCGCUUUUAUCCCGAAGGUAAAAGGAAUGGAUAAACUUCGACUCAUAUGCUUGUACUAACUAUUUGUUGAAUCAUACACAAAGGCACGUUUUAUAACAUCGAGUUACCAAUGCGUUUACGUGCAAUCAAUGUAUAACCAACUCAUAGUCAACAACUCAUAUCUCUAGGUUUGAAGAAUAUAAGAUAUUAUCGUCUCAUGAUUCACUCGUGAUAAAAUCCAUGAAGUGAAUCCAAAUGAGCGUGGGUUGAAUCCAAUACUCAGCCCUUAUGAGUACUCAUGAAUGUUGUAGCAACUAUUGCAUUGUCUAAAGCACUUUAGACAAAUCAUACAAGCCAAAUUCACGACAGUCUUGAUUCAUAUCUACUUCCAACAUAUGACCGACUGUGGAUGGUUUGAAUAACUUGGUCAUUCGGGAGAAUGACCUAGUUAUUCUGGAAGUCAAAACAUGCAAAGUGAAACACAAAAUAAUACUAGUCCUAUAUGGCCUCAACACUUUGAGCGUAAAUAAAACACCUUUUAUCUAAGCACCAUAUUGAUCACUCAUUAUUCAUGUUUCGAUUAAUCAACUUAAUACUUGAAUUGAAACAGUAGUGAUGCCAUGCUCCAAGCAUGCAUACUAUGUUUCUCUAAACAAUAGCUAUGCCAUACUCCAAGUAUGCACACUAUGUUUACAUAUGGUCAUCUCUUUGUGAAAUGUAUAUCAAUUGAACAUGACUUCAAUGAUUCUCAUUUCACAAUCCCAAUCCUUAUUGUAAAUGUAAGAAUACCAAGUUCUUGUCAUUUACCGUAAUCUAUGCAAUGAUCCUCUUGUAAUGAUAUUCACACAAGUCACAAAGACUUGGCAACAAACAUUACAAAGUAUUCCAAUGGAAAGCAAUUCCAUGGAGAUGAAGUCUCAAAUUCAAAGUACAUUCCUUUGAACAUCCUUCUUUGCAUUAAGUUCUUUAAUCUUACACAGAUUCAAAGAAUAACUUCCACCUAUGGAAACAAUUCCAUAUUCCCAUCUUGACCAUCACUUUUGAACAAGAGUUGCCUCUUUCCAAAAUAUGUCAAUACGAUCCUUACUCUAUACUUCCAAUUGUCCAUGAGUAACCAAACUUUGGAAAACCCCAAAUUGUUCUCGACAAU